GGUAAAUGCUUACUUGAAUUAAGUGGAAACAACGCCUUAAUUGUCAUGGAUGAUGCCGAUGUUGGGCUGGCAGUGCGUUCUAUCUUUUUUGCAGCCGUUGGCACUGCUGGUCAGCGCUGCACAACGUGCCGUAGAUUGGUAACUGUUUGUAUAAGAAAUUCCAUUUGUGUGAUUUGAUGUGGUUAUAACAGUUGAGAUUUUUUUUCUUGAAAAUAAUAUAUACAAAUUUUUUUUUUGUGCAUGUACGGUGUCAUGGACUGCAGUAUCUCCAUGAAAGUAUAUAUCAAAAUGUGUUGGAUAAACUAGUUGGACUUUACAAUCAAGUCAAAAUUGGGGAUCCUUUAGAGGAGGGAACUCUAGUCGGACCAGUACAUACUAAGG
rnacentral:lncRNA from 1 species